rnacentral:rRNA from 1 species
CCUACGGGUGGCAGCAGUGAGGAAUAUUGGUCAAUGGGCGAGAGCCUGAACCAGCCAAGUCGCGUGAGGGAGUACUGCCCUAUGGGUUGUAAACCUCUUUUGUCGGGGAGCAAAAGCCGGACGUGUCCGGCUGUGAGAUUACCCGAAGAAAAAGCAUCGGCUAACUCCGUGCCAGCAGCCGCGGUAAUACGGAGGAUGAGGGCGUUAUCCGGAUUUAUUGGGUUUAAAGGGUGCGCAGGCGGAGUUUUAAGUCAGCGGUGAAAUACCGAUGCUCAACAUCGGGGAUGCGGCUGAUACUGUAGGACUAGAGAACGAAUGCAGCAUGCGGAAUGUGUAGUGUAGCGGUGAAAUGCAUAGAUAUUACACAGAACACCGAUUGCGAAGGCAGCUUGCUAGGCCGGAUCUGACACUGAUGCACGAAAGCGUGGGGAGCGAACAGGAUUAGAUACCCGAGUAGUC